GACGAACGCUGGCGGCGUGCUUAACACAUGCAAGUCGAACGGAAAGGCCCUGCUUUUGUGGGGUGCUCGAGUGGCGAACGGGUGAGUAACACGUGAGUAACCUGCCCUUGUCUUUGGGAUAACUUCAGGAAACUGGGGCUAAUACCGGAUAGGAGCUCCUGCUGCAUGGUGGGGGUUGGAAAGUUUCGGCGGUAGGGGAUGGACUCGCGGCUUAUCAGCUUGUUGGUGGGGUAGUGGCUUACCAAGGCUUUGACGGGUAGCCGGCCUGAGAGGGUGACCGGCCACAUUGGGACUGAGAUACGGCCCAGACUCCUACGGGAGGCAGCAGUGGGGAAUAUUGCACAAUGGGCGGAAGCCUGAUGCAGCAACGCCGCGUGCGGGAUGACGGCCUUCGGGUUGUAAACCGCUUUCGCCUGUGACGAAGCGUGAGUGACGGUAAUGGGUAAAGAAGCACCGGCUAACUACGUG
rnacentral:rRNA from 1 species